rnacentral:tRNA from 1 species
CCCGGUCUAGUUCAGUGGUCAGAACGCCGCGCUGUGGACGCGGAAACGUUGCGGUUCGAUUCCGCCGGCCGGGACCA